AGAGUUUGAUCCUGGCUCAGGAUGAACGCUGGCGGCGUGCUUAACACAUGCAAGUCGAACGGGGAUGUUAUGUGAGCGUAGUUAGCUUGCUAAUGACAAUCUUUUAACAUCCUAGUGGCGGACGGGUGAGUAACGCGUGGGUAACCUGCCAUAUACAGGGGGAUAACACUUAGAAAUAGGUGCUAAUACCGCAUAAGCGCACGAUGUCGCAUGACAUCGUGUGAAAAACUCCGGUGGUAUAUGAUGGACCCGCGUCUGAUUAGCUAGUUGGUGGGGUAACGGCCUACCAAGGCGACGAUCAGUAGCCGGCCUGAGAGGGUGAACGGCCACAUUGGGACUGAGACACGGCCCAAACUCCUACGGGAGGCAGCAGUGGGGAAUAUUGGACAAUGGGGGGAACCCUGAUCCAGCGACGCCGCGUGAGUGAAGAAGUAUUUCGGUAUGUAAAGCUCUAUCAGCAGGGAAGAAGGAAAUGACGGUACCUGACUAAGAAGCCCCGGCUAACUACGUGCCAGCAGCCGCGGUAAUACGUAGGGGGCAAGCGUUAUCCGGAUUUACUGGGUGUAAAGGGAGCGUAGACGGUAAUGCAAGUCUGAAGUGAAAUGCGGGGGCUCAACCCCUGAACUGCUUUGGAAACUGUAAAACUGGAGUGCAGGAGAGGUAAGUGGAAUUCCUAGUGUAGCGGUGAAAUGCGUAGAUAUUAGGAGGAACACCAGUGGCGAAGGCGGCUUACUGGACUGUAACUGACGUUGAGGCUCGAAAGCGUGGGGAGCAAACAGGAUUAGAUACCCUGGUAGUCCACGCCGUAAACG
rnacentral:rRNA from 1 species